GUGGAUGUAGUUCUGUUGGAAGAGUACUUGCCUCACAUGCACAAGGCCCUGGGAUCAAUUCCCAGCACCACA
rnacentral:tRNA from 1 species